AGCCUCGCGCAUGCCCAGUGGGAGAGGACGCCCUUCUCCCAUAGAGGACUACUCUUCAGUCAAGGGUGUGCAAGCAGCUGGGCUCCCCCCGUCAGAACCUCCAAACACGUUCUCAAGGUCUUAUUACUUCUAGUUUGUAAAUGAGGAAAUGGUGC
rnacentral:sRNA from 1 species